GUGAUCGUGGUGAAGCGAUUAACACGCUUGACUGUAAAUUCAGUAUGCACGGGUUCGAUGCCCGUUGAUCACC
rnacentral:tRNA from 1 species